rnacentral:rRNA from 1 species
AUACGGAGGGUGCAAGCGUUACUCGGAAUCACUGGGCGUAAAGCGCGCGCAGGCGGUCUUUUAAGUUGGAUGUGAAAGCCUACGGCUCAACCGUAGAACUGCAUCCAAAACUAUUAGACUAGAGUGUGGGAGAGGAAGAUGGAAUUAGUUGUGUAGGGGUAAAAUCCGUAGAGAUAACUAGGAAUACCAAAAGCGAAGGUAAUCUUCUGGAACACUACUGACGCUGAGGCGCGAAAGCGUGGGGAGCAAACAGGAUUAGAAACCCUAGUAGUCC